AGCAGCCGCGGUAAUUCCAGCUCCAAUAGCGUAUAUUAAAGUUGUUGCAGUUAAAAAGCUCGUAGUUGAAUUUCGAGAUCAGUACGCUGGUCGUGCCUCCGGUAUGCACUGGUGUCACUGGUUUCUCCCUUCUGAAGAACCGUCAUGCCAUUCAGUUGGUGUGGCGGGGAAUCAGGACUGUUACUUUGAAAAAAUUAGAGUGUUUAAAGCAGGCUCGCGCUUGAAUACAUUAGCAUGGAAUAAUGAAAUAGGACGUUUGACCCUAUUUUGUUGGUUUCUAGGAUCGACGUAAUGAUUAAUAGGGAUAGUUGGGGGCAUUAGUAUUCAAUUGUCAGAGGUGAAAUUCUUGGAUUUAUUGAAGACUAACUACUGCGAAAGCAUUUGCCAAGGAUGUUUUCAUUAAUCAAGAACGAAAGUUAGGGGAUCGAAGACGAUCAGAUACCGUCGUAGUCUUAACCAUAAACUAUGCCGACUAGGGAUCGGAUGAUGUUAAUUUUUAAUGA
rnacentral:rRNA from 1 species